GGAAAAUCUUCGGGAGCGGGCAGGGCCCGGAGCUGCCGCCGGCUCCGGGAGGUGUCACCUCCUGGCACCUCCCGAAUCCCGCACAAAGGUCCCCGUUCCACCCGUUUGUUUAAACAAACACAUUCCCGGCGGACAAACCCCAAGGAAUAUCCAGCAGGGAUUCGGAGCCCGAGCUUGGCUCCGGGGUGGGGGGAAUUUGGGAUUUUCCUGGCGUUUCUGCUGGCGGAGACGGCUCCGAGACACCCCGCCUGAAGCUGCGGGAGCUUUCCGCGCUCCCGGAGCUUUUCCAUGCUCCCGGAUAUUCCCGGAGAUGAAAUCCCGCCUGGAUCCGGCUGUGCUGGGAUUGCCCAAGGUGUGUGAUCCAUCCGGAACCGGGACAAGCGUCCGGCCCUGAGCGGCACCGGGAGCCCCCCCGCGCCCUGGAGCCCCCCCAAAGUCACCCCAGAGCCCUGCGGGGGGGUCCCCGCGGGGCUCCCGCCCCCGAGGCGCCGCUGCGUGUCCGUCCUGGAGCCCGGCACGGCCUGGGAUGAGGAGGAGGAGGAGGAGGAGGAGGAAGAGCGAAUGCCCAGGGUGUCCCUGCGGAGAUCCGGGACGCUCCGGAGCUCCCUGGACCCUUUCCGCCGGCACAGCUGGGAGCCGGGGAAGGACCCGCGGGGCAUCCCUGGCUACGACCAGCUCAGCGGGAGCCCCGAGCUCGGCUCCAGCUCGGAGCAGCUGGGGGGGCUCUGCCAGCGCCGCCGGGACCCCCGGAGAGCCCCCCUGGUGCACAGCAGCGACGAGCUGGACUCGCUGCUCUCGCAGGACGAGGAGGACGAGGCCGACGUGAGGCGGGCACAGGAGGACGCGCGGAGGCUCCCGGAGCCCCGGGCCGGGCCCCGCUCCCGGGGCUGGUCCCGCUUCAAAUCCGCCUCGCUCGGUGUCAUCGCCAGCGUCCCCGGCGAGGAGGCUGCCGAAAUUCCCCCGUUCGCCUCCCAGCAGAGCCUGCUCAGCGGCGCCGGGAGCCGCGAGCGGCUGGCGGGGGAGGCGGGGACCCCCCCGGGCCGGGAAGGGACCCCCCUGGACAGGACCCUCAGCUUCAUCCGCAGGAUGACCGGGAAGACAAAGGGCAAGGACAAGGAGAGGAUGAAGGAGGGCAAGGAGAAGGACGCGCGUUACACCAACGGGCACCUC
rnacentral:lncRNA from 1 species